AUGAACGCUAGCUACAGGCUUAACACAUGCAAGUCGAGGGGCAGCAUGGUCUUAGCUUGCUAAGGCCGAUGGCGACCGGCGCACGGGUGAGUAACACGUAUCCAACCUGCCGUCUACUCUUGGACAGCCUUCUGAAAGGAAGAUUAAUACAAGAUGGCAUCAUGAGUCCGCAUGUUCACAUGAUUAAAGGUAUUCCGGUAGACGAUGGGGAUGCGUUCCAUUAGAUAGUAGGCGGGGUAACGGCCCACCUAGUCUUCGAUGGAUAGGGGUUCUGAGAGGAAGGUCCCCCACAUUGGAGCUGAGACACGGUCCAAACUCCUACGGGAGGCAGCAGUGAGGAAUAUUGGUCAAUGGGCGAGAGCCUGAACCAGCCAAGUAGCGUGAAGGAUGACUGCCCUAUGGGUUGUAAACUUCUUUUAUAAAGGAAUAAAGUCGGGUAUGGAUACCCGUUUGCAUGUACUUUAUGAAUAAGGAUCGGCUAACUCCGUGCCAGCAGCCGCGGUAAUACGGAGGAUCCGAGCGUUAUCCGGAUUUAUUGGGUUUAAAGGGAGCGUAGAUGGAUGUUUAAGUCAGUUGUGAAAGUUUGCGGCUCAACCGUAAAAUUGCAGUUGAUACUGGAUAUCUUGAGUGCAGUUGAGGCAGGCGGAAUUCGUGGUGUAGCGGUGAAAUGCUUAGAUAUCACGAAGAACUCCGAUUGCGAAGGCAGCCUGCCAAGCUGCAACUGACAUUGAGGCUCGAAAGUGUGGGUAUCAAACAGGAUUAGAUACCCUGGUAGUCCACACGGUAAACGAUGAAUACUCGCUGUUUGCGAUAUACUGCAAGCGGCCAAGCGAAAGCGUUAAGUAUUCCACCUGGGGAGUACGCCGGCAACGGUGAAACUCAAAGGAAUUGACGGGGGCCCGCACAAGCGGAGGAACAUGUGGUUUAAUUCGAUGAUACGCGAGGAACCUUACCCGGGCUUAAAUUGCAGAUGAAUUACGGUGAAAGCCGUAAGCCGCAAGGCAUCUGUGAAGGUGCUGCAUGGUUGUCGUCAGCUCGUGCCGUGAGGUGUCGGCUUAAGUGCCAUAACGAGCGCAACCCUUGUUGUCAGUUACUAACAGGUCAUGCUGAGGACUCUGACAAGACUGCCAUCGUAAGAUGUGAGGAAGGUGGGGAUGACGUCAAAUCAGCACGGCCCUUACGUCCGGGGCUACACACGUGUUACAAUGGGGGGUACAGAGGGCCGCUACCACGCGAGUGGAUGCCAAUCCCCAAAACCUCUCUCAGUUCGGACUGGAGUCUGCAACCCGACUCCACGAAGCUGGAUUCGCUAGUAAUCGCGCAUCAGCCACGGCGCGGUGAAUACGUUCCCGGGCCUUGUACACACCGCCCGUCAAGCCAUGGGAGCCGGGGGUACCUGAAGUGCGUAACCGCGAGGAGCGCCCUAGGGUAAAACUGGUGACUG
rnacentral:rRNA from 1 species